rnacentral:rRNA from 1 species
AUGGGCUGCGCGCCCAUGGGCCACAUCCUCUACGACGAGGUCAUGCGCUACAACCCCAAGAACCCCUACUGGUUCAACCGCGACCGCUUCGUCCUCUCCGCCGGCCACGGCUGCAUGCUCCAGUACGCCCUCCUCCACCUCGCCGGCUAUGACGCCGUCAAGGAAGACGACCUGAAGCAGUUCAGGCAGUGGGGAAGCUCCACCCCGGGCCACCCCGAGAACUUCGAGACUCCCGGAGUUGAAGUCACCACUGGUCCUCUUGGACAGGGUAUCGCGAAUGCCGUCGGGUUGGCGCUUGCUGAGAAGCACCUGGCUGCUCGUUUCAACAAGCCCGACAGUGAAAUCGUUGACCAUUACACGUACUGUAUUGUGGGAGAUGGGUGCAACAUGGAGGGUAUCUUGACUGAAGCUUGCUCGUUGGCUGGGCAUUGGGGUCUUGGCAAGCUAAUUGUUUUCUACGACGACAACCACAUCUCCAUUGACGGAGACACCGAGAUUGCUUUUACAGAGGAUGUGAGUGGCCGCUUUGAGGCUCUUGGGUGGCACACACUCUGGGUUAAGAAUGGCAACGAUGGUUAUGACGAGAUCCGUAAAGCCAUUCAGGAAGCAAAAUCAGUUACCGACAAGCCCACAAUGAUCAAGGUGACCACCACAAUCGGUUUUGGAUCUCCCAACAAGGCCAACUCAUACGCUGUGCACGGAGCUGCAUUGGGCACCAGCGAGGUCGAAGCGACCAGGGCAAACCUUGGAUGGCCAUAUGAGCCAUUCUUUGUGCCCGAGGAUGUCAAGAGCCACUGGAGCCGCCAUAUUCCCCAAGGUGCCGCUCUUGAGGCUGACUGGGAUGCUAAGUUUGCACAGUACGAGCAGAAGUACCCAGAAGAUGCCGCCACCUUGAAAAGCAUCAUCACAGGAGAGUUGCCCGCUGGCUGGGCCGAUGCUCUUCCUCAAUACACUACAGAGAGCCCAGCAGACGCCACCAGGAAUCUCUCCCAGCAAUGCUUGAAUGCACUUGCUAAAGUUGUGCCUGGUCUUAUUGGAGGCAGUGCUGAUCUUGCGUCCUCCAACAUGACAUUGCUCAAGAUGUUUGGCGACUUCCAGAAGGAUACCCCUGAGGAGCGCAAUGUCCGCUUUGGAGUCAGGGAGCAUGGAAUGGGUGCCAUUUGCAACGGCAUUGCGCUGCACACCCCAGGGCUCAUUCCAUACUGUGCAACUUUCUUUGUUUUCACUGACUACAUGAGAGGUGCCAUGAGGAUCUCAGCCUUGUCUGAAGCUGGAGUUAUCUAUGUCAUGACCCAUGACUCUAUUGGUCUGGGUGAAGAUGGCCCGACCCAUCAACCCAUUGAGCACUUGGUGAGCUUCCGCGCAAUGCCGAACAUGCUGAUGUUCCGUCCUGCUGAUGGCAAGGAGACUGCCGGGGCAUACAAGGUGGCUGUCCUCAACAGGAAGAGGCCAUCUAUUCUGGCUCUCUCCAGGCAAAAGCUUCCUCAUCUGCCUGGUACCUCAAUUGAGGGCGUUGCCAAGGGUGGUUACACCAUUUCCGACAACUCGACCGGAAACAAGCCUGACUACAUCAUAAUGAGCACUGGUUCUGAGGUAGAGAUUGCUGUGAAGGCUGCCGAAGAGUUGACGAAGGAGGGGAAGACCGUCCGUGUUGUGUCAUUUGUUUGCUGGGAACUCUUCGACGAGCAGUCAGAUGAGUACAAGGAGAGCGUGCUCCCUGAGGCCGUCACCGCAAGGAUCAGCAUUGAGGCUGGCUCUACCCUCGGAUGGCAAAAGUAUGUCGGAUCCAAGGGCAAGACCAUCGGCAUCGACAAGUUCGGCGCCAGCGCUCCCGCCCCGAAGAUCUACAAGGAGUACGGCAUCACCGCGGAGAACGUCAUCGCCGCAGCCAAGAGCCUGUAA